AUGUACUGGCACAGAGCACAAAGUGUGGCUGGAAAAGGAUGCAGGGAAAGGAGAAAGGAUUGGAGCAGGAGAUAUCAAAGGAAGUUGGAAGCUGUCACAGAUCUUCAGGAACGGCUAAGAAACAUCAUCCUGGAACUGGAGUUAAAGAUGGACCAUGGGGCGGAUUGGAACCGAGAUGAAGCUGGAGAAGAUGAGGAUGAUGCUUUCCUUUAUAAGCAGAAAAACAAGUUAAGAAAAAUUGACUGAUGAUAAGGAGAGUCUGAAAUUGGACAGAACUGAUAAGGUGUGUUAGAACAGCAUGUUAUUUUACCCUUCCCUGGGCUCCUGCCUCACCAGCUGUCAAGAAGGUUGAUGUGCCCUGGCCUUGAUAGCUGUACAUUCCACAAGACAGCCUGCACAAGGU
rnacentral:lncRNA from 1 species